UACGGGAGGCAGCAGUAGGGAAUCUUCCGCAAUGGGCGAAAGCCUGACGGAGCAACGCCGCGUGAGUGAUGAAGGUCUUCGGAUCGUAAAACUCUGUUAUUAGGGAAGAACAUACGUGUAAGUAACUAUGCACGUCUUGACGGUACCUAAUCAGAAAGCCACGGCUAACUACGUGCCAGCAGCCGCGGUAAUACGUAGGUGGCAAGCGUUAUCCGGAAUUAUUGGGCGUAAAGCGCGCGUAGGCGGUUUUUUAAGUCUGAUGUGAAAGCCCACGGCUCAACCGUGGAGGGUCAUUGGAAACUGGAAAACUUGAGUGCAGAAGAGGAAAGUGGAAUUCCAUGUGUAGCGGUGAAAUGCGCAGAGAUAUGGAGGAACACCAGUGGCGAAGGCGACUUUCUGGUCUGUAACUGACGCUGAUGUGCGAAAGCGUGGGGAUCAAACAGGAUUAGAUACCCUGGUAGUCCACGCCGUAAACGAUGAGUGCUAAGUGUUAGGGGGUUUCCGCCCCUUAGUGCUGCAGCUAACGCAUUAAGCACUCCGCCUGGGGA
rnacentral:rRNA from 1 species